CCUACGGGAGGCAGCAGUGGGGAAUUUUGGACAAUGGGCGAAAGCCUGAUCCAGCAAUGCCGCGUGCAGGACGAAGGCCUUCGGGUUGUAAACUGCUUUUGUACGGAACGAAACGGUCUCUUUUAAUACGGGGGGCUAAUGACGGUACCGUAAGAAUAAGCACCGGCUAACUACGUGCCAGCAGCCGCGGUAAUACGUAGGGUGCAAGCGUUAAUCGGAAUUACUGGGCGUAAAGCGUGCGCAGGCGGUUAUAUAAGACAGAUGUGAAAUCCCCGGGCUCAACCUGGGACCUGCAUUUGUGACUGUAUAGCUAGAGUACGGUAGAGGGGGAUGGAAUUCCGCGUGUAGCAGUGAAAUGCGUAGAUAUGCGGAGGAACACCGAUGGCGAAGGCAAUCCCCUGGACCUGUACUGACGCUCAUGCACGAAAGCGUGGGGAGCAAACAGGAUUAGAUACCCCAGUAGUC
rnacentral:rRNA from 1 species